AAAUAACUCUGCGGUAAUCAUGAAGUCGUGAAGCCGCGAUUCUAAUGUCUAUUAGGAAAAAUCCCAAUAAACAUGAGCGGACUAAUAAUAAAAAGAGAUUAUUCUCUGAAUUUUUUAUUUAUCACGAACGAUUCUACAGACAGUUUUUAAUAGGAUGAUAUUUAACGAAUUCCCUGCCUAAGUGCUUUACCACAUUUCCCAUACUCCCAGAGUGAAAUAGGCGCGUAUAAAAACAGCAAAAAAUGGAUUUUUGCUCAUAUUUCUAGCAAGGAAAGGAUCGUGUGUGAUAUCACCACACACGAUCGACAUUAGACAGGGGUUAGGUCGGGGUUGAGAAUCAGGAGUUGAGAA
rnacentral:ncRNA from 18 species